CUUGCUUAGCCGCUCUCAGAGGCGCUGCCGGACGCGGGCAGGACAGAACGUCACACGGGUUCAUCUACUUUUGCAACAAUGAGAGCGCAGACGGCCACGAAGGAAAAUCCCCACAGGAGGAUGUCAAGGCAUUAACAAAAAUCUCAGCUCUCCUCUGGUAAUUGGCAGAAGACAUCAACAGACAUUUCUUCAAAGAAGACAUACAGAUGGCCAACACUGAUUGACUUUUGAAUAUUGAACCAGCUUUGCAUUCUGGAAAUAAAUUGUCAUUGGUCAUGGUUCCACUGGUGAAGCCGUUUAACUCUGACCCGGGAAGGAGAGACAUAAAUUCACAACCAUGAGCGGGAGG